rnacentral:rRNA from 1 species
GGAGGCAGCAGUGGGGAACAUUGGACAAUGGGCGAAAGCCUGAUCCAGCAAUGCCGCGUGAGUGAUGAAGGCCUUAGGGUUGUAAAGCUCUUUUACCCGGGAAGAUAAUGACUGUACCGGGAGAAUAAGCCCCGGCUAACUCCGUGCCAGCAGCCGCGGUAAUA